GUUCCAUUCUUCUCUCUCUCUCGCUCUCCCUCUCGCUCUCUCUCAUAGUUCUGUGGCAUGAUUCGGUUUUGUGUUUCUAAGUAUGGAAGCAGCAACAUCAGAGGAGUCAUUCGAUCGUACGGGAGAGACGGAAGACGAGGCUCGCCGAUCCAAUCCAGUUUUCGGUUCCUGAAAUCAAAGCAAAGAGAUCUUUCAAUGUAGAGACUGCAGAUUGAAAAAGAAGAAGAAGUAGAGAAACUGCUAUUUUUUUGUUUCAAUCAGGCAAGCGGAUCUCUUUUAUGCAGAUUCGUUGAGUGAUGGAGUUUAACAUUAGUAACAUAUGGCGCAAAAGGGGAGUUUCUCUGACUACACACCAUCAUCCAUCAAGUAUGCAUAUGCCAAUUCAAGUAACUGUUGUGAAGUAGUGACACUUUUGCUGAAGUAUCUUGGUGGAGCUAAACACAACAGGCUCUUCUUGAUCAAGGUUUAAUGGAGCAGUGGGAAGCAGAUGCAAUGCAUGAAGAAGAAAAUAUGAUGAGUGAUAAUGAGGAAGAUAUUCACAUUACAGAUGACGAGGAACCAUUACCUGGGAAUGAAGCAGGUUCAAGUGCAAGAAAAAAGAGGGCACGAACAUCACCUGUGUGGAAACAUUUCAAGUUUGAACUAGUUGGAGAGAAGAUGAAAAAGGCUACUUGCAAUUAUUGUUUAAGGGAAUAUAAGAUGGUGCUGAACACUGGAAUUACUCACUUGAUGCGUCAUUAUACUUCAUGUCCACGUGUGAAUGUAGGGAAUAUGAUGCUUGAUGCCGACAUGAAGCUACGUGCUAAAAAGAUUGAUCAGAAAAUUGUGAGGGAAAAAUUUAGCAGAGUCCUCAUAAGACAUGAUCUUCCUUUUUCUGCUGUUGAGUACGAGGAAUUAAGAGAUUUUCUUAAGUAUAUGAAUCCAG